rnacentral:tRNA from 1 species
GCCGGCGUAGCUCAGAGGAUAGAGCAACUGCCUUCUAAGCAGUAGGCCGCAGGUUCGAAUCCUGCCGUCGGCG